UACGGGGGGGGCAAGCGUUGUUCGGAAUUACUGGGCGUAAAGGGCACGUAGGCGGCCAACUAAGUCAGACGUGAAAUCCCUCAGCUUAACUGGGGAACUGCGUCUGAUACUGGAUGGCUUGAGUUCGGGAGAGGGAUGCGGAAUUCCAGGUGUAGCGGUGAAAUGCGUAGAUAUCUGGAGGAACACCGGUGGCGAAGGCGGCAUCCUGGACCGACACUGACGCUGAGGAGCGAAAGCCAGGGGAGCAAACGGG
rnacentral:rRNA from 1 species